GUGAUUUUACUUAUUCAUUCUUGAAGCAUCUCUUCCAUACUGGAUGGCUCUUCCACACAUCAACCAUUCCAUCAAUGGGAACUCCCUUAGUCUCUGGUACUAAGAAGACUACGAAUAGUCCCAUAACGACGAUCCAUCCAGAGAAGAAGAAGAAUAUGUUUGCUUGCAUUUUGCAAAGCAUUGUUAAGAAUGCUUGAGCAAUGAUUGAAGUGAAAAGCAUGUUUGUGCUCACUGCAAAUGCGAAACCGGCUGUUCUUGUUUCCAUUGGGAAUGUUUCACUUGGAAUCAACCAUCCUAGAGGUCCCCAUGACCAAGCAAAUGACAUAACAUAUGUGCACACAAGGAUCACAACCACUGCUGCUAGUGUCCUGUCCAAGGUUCCUGUUUCCUUCAAACUGACGGAUAAGAUGAUACCAAUUGCCAAUUGAGAGAUCAACAUUUGGCAACAAGCUUGGAGGAGUAAUUUUCUCCUUCCAACCUUGUCAACGGCGUAGAUGGAAACAAAUGUGGCUCCAACAUUAACAAGUCCAGUAAUGACAGCGGAUAAAAGUGCACCAUCGGAUUUGAAUCCCAUGGUCUGGAACAGGACAGGUGCGUAGAACAUAAUGGCGUUAAUUCCAGUGAAUUGUUGGAAAACCUGCAACAAUAUAGCAAUAACAAGGGGUGGGAUACUGGCAGAUUUCAAUAGGUUUCUGAAUGGAUGUUUCACAGCUUUAGCUUGUUCACAAGCAGCAACGAUUUCCUUAAAUUCAACUUCAACAUCAUCAACCCCUCUAACUUUCUUUAGUGCAGCUUUGCCCUGUUCGUCUUUGCCACGUUCAAUUAAACUGGCAGGAGUGUCAGUGAUAACGAAGCAACCAAUUAGCAGCAUGAAAGCUGGAACCGCUGCCAGGCCAAGUGACACCCUCCACCCGUUGGGGUGCAUGUUCGAUGUAGCAUAAUUCACAAGAUUUGCUAUGAAUAUUCCAAUCGUUACGAAAAGUUGGAACAUAAUGUUAACAGCUCCUCUGAGUUGGAUGGGUGCCACUUCUGUCAAAAACAGAGGAACAGUCUGCCACAAACAAACAAAAAGUAAAACAGAGGAACAGUCUGCCACAAAGUAUGAAAGAAAAAAUGUGACGCUGGUUGGGAAAUUAGUAUAUGAAAAAUUUUGCAAGAAAAAGAAAAUGAAAAAAAAUACCUCAUUUCCGAAACCAACACCAACACCAAACAAUAUUCUACCAACAAUGAGCAUCCAUCUGUGUUCUGAGGCAGCACUUAUAAUAGCCCCAGCGAUGAAGAAAAGGGAAGCCAUGAAGAUGGUAGGCCUACGUCCUAAAGCUGAACACGCCUUGGAUGCAAAGAAACUCGAAACCAAAGCUGAUAGAUACAAUGAUGAGGUGAAUAGCUGAAGAAGUUGAUCAUCAUAUUUACAAUAGUUAUUCUCCUUUGCGUGAAGCUUCCUUUCGUAAACAUUUGGGAAAAAUUUAAGCAGGAAAUCAUCCAUACCAGACACUCCACCUGAAAAUACUCAUUCAAAUCAAAAUCCAAAGUCCAAAAUAUCCUUAAAUUAAAAUAAAAAAAUACAUACCUGAAAUACCAAUAUCAUAACCAAACAUAAGCCCUCCAAAGGCAGCAAAGAUCCAACAUGAUACCACAUACACGGUAAUCUUAGAGUUAUUUGGUUGAAUUGUCGACAUUUUUGCCUUUUUUUAUAUAAUUAUUUAUAUUUUCGUUUUUAUAUGAAUAAAAAUUACCCUCCGAGAUAAAAACUGAUUUAUAAAGAUGGAAUAAAAUCUCUAUUUUUGGGUUUUUGUUUUUCUUUAUUUUAAUAGAGAUAAAACCAGCAUAUAUAUUUUUUACAUAUAUAGGGAGAGGAGAGACAAAGAGCUUAGUAUUUAUCUUUGCCUCGAACUCUCCAGAUAAUAUUUAUUCGCUGGAAUGAUGAUUUUGAACUUACAAAGUGAAUCCCUUUUUAUACUAAUCAAAUUUCUGUUACUUCUUCUCAGUAAAAUAGGAUCUACCACUAAUUUAAUCAAAAUUAUAAUUAGUUUUCCUUAUUUUUUUUGUUGAAAAUGACAAUAAUUAAUACAUGGUGGAUAAUGAAAAAUUGUUGUGUUUGACUUAAUCUAUUAUUAAAGGCCACUCAUUAAUUAAAGGGAUGACAGUCAUGCAUUUACACUCCACAAAUUUAAAGGAUUUGUAUAUCUAUUCUAGAGCAAAAAAAAAAAUCUUAUCCAUAUUUUAGAAACUUUUUAUAUGAGAGGAUUCUUGUGAAAAUAUAGGAUGAUAUUUAUUAAUUGGACAGCUAAGAUGUAGUAUAUAUAUAUAUAUUAUCAAGUAUAAAUGACAGAUAAAAGCUGUAAUUUCUAUAUAAUAAAUAUUCCACUUGGAUAUUUUAUUUUUGAAAAGUCAAACUAUUUAAAUUUAAUUGAAUAUUUAUGUAUAAAAUUUUUAAUUUUUUAAAAAAUAAAAUUUAUAUAUUUAUAAAUUAAAUAAAAAGUAUUAUAAAUUGUAAUAACUGCAAUUCAAAAUAUUCAAAAGAUAUAUGAAUUAUUUAUUGUCAAAUUUAUUUGAAUCGGAAAAUGUUACCUAAAUGGAAAUAGAUAAUAAUAAAGUGGUUUUUGGUUUGUUUAUUUAUUUUUUAAAAAAUAUUUUUGGCGAUUAUUUUUUUUUAGAUAAAGUCGAAAUUCAUAUUUCUCUGACUAUUUCAUAUAGUUUAAAAAUGAUUCUUAAAAUAAAUGUGAACCCAAAAGAUUUUUAUGUAGCGUUUUUUUACUUUAAAUAAUUUUUAAAAAUAUUUAUCCUUAAAUUAUCUUUCUAUAAGUCGAUCGAUAAUGGAUAAGGUAGGCUUAUCUGAUUAUGUUGUUACCUGUUACACCAAUUAUUUGGCACAUACAGAAGUGAAUACUUACUUUUAAUCAAAAGGAUAGUAUUAUAUCCGUUUUCGUUUUAAUACAAAUACUUUCUCCGUUUAAAAAAAAUUAUUUUAUUUUUAUUUUAGUUUGUCUUAAAAAGAAUGAUAUUUUUUUUUGGUAAUAUUUUAAUUUCAGCUUUUCAUAUUUAAGGUUAUAAGAUCAAAGAAUAAUUUUGUACAUUUGAGCUAACUUUAAUUUAAAACCACACGAUUUAAUUUAUUUUUUUUAUAUUCUAAAGUUCGUGUCAAAUCAAACCAGAUCUUCUUUUAUAAAACAUAUGAAAUAUUAUCAUAAUAAAAGAAAAAUACUAAAAUAAAUAUAACCUAAAAAAAUUCAAAACAAAAACUUUGUUUUUUUUUAAAACUAUAUUCUUGUAGUGGGAAGAAGUGUUUAAUUUUAAAGAGCCAUCUAUGAUCUAUUAAAUAAAGAUAAUUUAUUAAGCUAUACAUUGUUUUUUAAUGAACGAGAUAUUUGUCAAGUGAGACUUAUUUUGGAACGAGAGUACUUCCUUCUGUUCAAAUUACUUGCCAUAAUUUUAUUUAAAUUAUUUACUCCAAAAUUUUAUCAUUUUAUUAGAAAAAUAAUUACUUAUCUUUUUUUAUUCUUACUCUUAUUUUAAUAUUACAUUUUGAGAGUAAUAUAAUAAAAAUUUUCUAUUAAAUUGAUUACGAUCAAAUUAAAUAUGUAGUAUAGUUUGUAAAUAUGACAAUUACAGGUAAAUUGUAGGAGUCGAUGAGAUCCUUUCAGAGUCUUUCAUGAUAUUUGAGUAAGUAUAUUUAAUUUUUAAUUAGUUAAAAUGUGUAUUUUUUAAAUUUCUUUUGCUCGUGAAUAUUAAUAACUUUAUCAUAUUUAUCAACUGUUCCACUAUUUUAUACAAUAUACUUAUUUAUGUGUUGUAUUAAGUUUAUGGUAUUAAUACUCUGCAUUUUAUGAUAAUAUAGCUUAUAUAAAAAUAAUCCACAGGUAGUUAACACACUCCUUAUGUAAUGGGAUUAAAUCGAUAUUUUAAAUUGACAUAAUAUAUAUAUAUAUAUAUUGGACUUGAAAUUUGAUUUCAAAUUUUAAUUUUGACCUCUAACUUUUAUAAUGCACAAACAGAUACCUUAACUAUCAAACUUUUAAAUAAAUAAACACAUGUGUCCUAAAUGACACAAUACACGUAGAAAACCACGUAGGACGAAAAAUGACAUGUAGGACAUAUGUGUCUAUUUAUUUAACUUUAUACAAGUUUAAAUGUCUAUUUGUGCACAUUCAAACUUAAAGGACAUAAAUAUAAUUUGAAGUCAAGUUAAAAGGGCACAUUUAUGUAUUAUCCCUUUUAAAUUAAUUAAAAGACAAAAUAUUUGAUGGAAUAUUGCAAAGAACAGAAAUCAGAAUAUAAUGUACAAAUAAUUUAGGGAGCAAAAGUGAAAUUAUUCUUUACAAUAUGUUAAAAUUUUAAGAGUUGGGAAAAUAGCUAGAUAUUUGUUAAGCUACGUUUAGAUAUAAAAAAUAUACAUGGAUAAGAAAUAACUAGAGUCACCAUAUAGACAUAUAUAUGUUACUAUACUGUAUAAACAAAAUAUAAUUUUACAAUAAAAAGGCGGUUUUGCGUUGGGUGACAUCGAUUAAUCGCUCACAAAUUAUAAUGAUAUAUCAUGUCGAUAAUCUUAUGUGAAGUAACGGACUACGUACCAAUGUUUGAACUUGAUGAAAUUUGUAUGCAUACGAAUUUAUGGAGUUUGAAGUCAAAAGGAUAAAAAAAAUUAUCAAAAAUAAUGAUAUAUUAAUCGCUUCUGACGAAACAAUUUUCUUGUGACAAAAUUGAUAUGUUAAUUUUUUUAAAAAAGAACACAAAAUUCGCUAUUGUGACAGUGAUUUCUCUAUUAAAAAAUUCUUUUUCCUUAAAUUUAAGAGCGAUUUGUCAAAAAAAAAAAGUUAACAGAUGUUGCAGGGGGCAUACCAAAUGUUGGACCAAAAUGCCUGCCUUUAUUAACUUUUUUUAUUCAAUUUUUUUUUUGAAAAACGUCGUACUCGCAGUGAUAUUAAAAAAAAUCAUCAGAACAAAAUUGCUCUAUUAAAAACUAUUUUAGCCUUUUAAUUAAAAAAAUUAAUAUAUCUUUUCAAAAUUUUUGACUUUUUUUUUCCCCUUUUCUCUCCGGCAUAAAAAGUUGGAUAAACACAUUAACUAUGUAACGUCAGGCUUAUAAUGUCUCGAUACACUAGAUGAAUUUUUAAUUAUGAUUUUAUAUUGUCAGAAUUAAGUUAGGAGUUUUAUUAAAUAUUCAUCCAGUGAACAUUUUAACAAUUAAUAACAUCUAACCAAAAUAAUACUAUUUUCAUUUAAGAAAUUAUAUGUAUUUCAUACAAUGCUUUUAAAGCUAUUUUUCCUAAAUAUGUAAACAUUAUUUCCAAUGAUAGUUACUAUUCAUUACCGUUACCAAAUAUUGUGUAUAUAGCAAAUGGGUGGAUUAGAUUUGGAUCCCAUUUAGGCUAAUUGAAAAUGGAUGAAGGAAAAAUAGAUUAAAUUACGAUUCAUCUAUAUAGAUAUAGAUAAAAAAAAUCGAAUAAGAUAAGAAUUUAUGAUCAAUUUGGAGGAACUUACAUAAAUUUCACUAGUUUAGAUGUUAAUUGUUUAGAUAUACUCUAGUUUGAAGUAUUAUGCGUCUUAUUUAAUUUUGGUGCCUCCAGAAAUGUCCAGAUAUAUGUAACACAAAUACACAGGUCAAAUUUAGGGAUAAUUUAUUCUACAUACAUUGUGUCAAAGUGGAUUCGCAUGUAUCUAGGAUACAUAGCAAAUCUCGCUCUCCUUUCUCACCUCACUUCAAUCUCAAUCGCCAUUCUUCGAUUUGAUAUUCCAAAUACAUAUAUGUAUUAUGAUUUGUAUUUGAAUUCUGAGAUAUAUAUGAAUUUCGCUUACCUCUCUCCCUAUUUUUGUGUAUCUUGUAAAAAAAUACAUAUAUCGAUACAUAAAAAACUCUUAAUUGGUGAUAGAUAACACACACAAUAUUUUGAAAGUAAUAAUAAAUAGUGAGGUAUAUCUAAUUAUAUAAUUUUCUUAAAAUGAUUCUAACCUUUUUCAAUGUCGUAGAGCUAAAAAAAAGAACUUUUAAUCUAUAUGUUAAUUUGCAUCAAACGAACUUUUAGCUCAUUAUUAUCUGUCAAAUUAGAGAAUGCAACUUUUGCAUAAUCCUUAUUGCUCCAUACUUGCAGUUCAAUUAAAUCUUUUUUCUAAAAAUAAAAAUAAAAUUUAUAUCAGCUUAACGAAUCUGAAUUGCUAGAUUGAAUCCUCAUGUGUAAGACAAACAACCCCUUAAAAAAGACAGUGAUUUUACAAAAUAAAAAAUUAGUGAUGAUGUCACGAUCCAAAAAAUAGGUGUGAUGGC
rnacentral:lncRNA from 1 species